ACGAGAGGACCGGGAUGGACGUACCUCUGGUGUACCAGUUGUUCUGCCAAGGGCAUGGCUGGGUAGCUAUGUACGGAAUGGAUAAGCGCUGAAAGCAUCUAAGCGCGAAGCCAACUUCAAGAUAAGAGUUCCCACCGCAAGGGUAAGACCCCAGAAAGACUAUCUGGUUGAUAGGUCGAAGGUGUAAGUGCAGCAAUGUAUUUAGCUUAUCGAUACUAAUAGGUCGAGGACUUGACCAAAUU
rnacentral:rRNA from 1 species